GAUGAACGCUGGCGGCGUGCUUAACACAUGCAAGUCGAACGAACUGAUAAGGAGCUUGCUCCUUUGAAGUUAGUGGCGGACGGUGAGUAACGCGUGGGUAACCUGCCCUAUGCAGGGGAUAACGUUUGGAAACGAACGCUAAUACCGCAUAAACUAUGGUUGUUCGCAUGAACAAUAUAGCAAAGAUUUAUCGGCAUAGGAUGGACCCGCGUUGGAUUAGCUAGUUGGUGAGAUAACAGCCCACCAAGGCGACGAUCCAUAGCCGGCCUGAGAGGGUGAACGGCCACAUUGGGACUGAGACACGGCCCAAACUCCUACGGGAGGCAGCAGUGGGGAAUAUUGCACAAUGGGCGCAAGCCUGAUGCAGCGACGCCGCGUGAAGGAUGAAGGUCUUCGGAUUGUAAACUUCUAUCAGCGGGGAAGAAAAAAAUGACGGUACCUGACUAAGAAGCUCCGGCUAACUACGUG
rnacentral:rRNA from 1 species